GGGAUGUGAUGAGUGGUCAUAAUUCGCAAAUUAAAAUGCGAGAGAUGGGUGUCUGCCCCAAAGCCUGUUACGACAAUUGGGCACUCUCCUGUUUUACCAUCUGAUCCC